ensembl:lncRNA
GGGCACUGGCCGAGCCUGGCGGGGCGAGGAAUUUACUGCUUUCCCUUCUCCCCUGCACCCCGGCUUAGCUGGCGCGGUUUCAGCGAGGUAAAAUGCAGCGCUUCUAGCGAAGGUAGCGAGCCUCGAAGAGCGCGAUUAUUUUAAAAAGGAGAAAGAAGUCUGCUUCUGCAUAAGUGCCUGUGGGCAACAGGGAAGCAAGAAAGGGAAGCAUUGCCUUGUGGUACUCUCCGUGCAUCUGGGAACUGCUCCAGCACAGCCCAGGAAGAACAGGCCUGGAAAUCAGUGUGGUGAUUUAUUUCAGAACAGUGUGGCUGAUUUCCAUGCAUCUACUGAACACAGCAGACCAGCCUAUGAUGAUGCCCUCUUCAGAAUGGUAUUUCGUCACCAACAGCUGUGUUUUUUCACACUGAGCUGUGCCUUGGAUACUCAGCCUUGUGCCUACCCUGAGGGGUGCUGCUUCUUCAAGGGUGAGCAGCAGAAGCCCACUGCUGCGCAAGCGACGACUGUGGUGAGAGUGCUCUGCGGACUCUGAGUCUGUCAGCACUGCAGUGGGCAGAGAGCUUCGCAGGUUAGAGUCCCCUGGGUCAAUGACUGCAGAGCAAAAAUGAGGAAGAAGAGCAGCUACACAGAAAUGUUGCUCUGUUCCCUCCAGAGAAUUAGAAAUAUGUAAAACAAUCAAUAAAAUGCCCAGUAGUGGCUGGACUCUUAUUGCU